rnacentral:misc_RNA from 1 species
AUUUUCUCAGUUGCACAAUUUUCCAUAGCUAGUGAAUAGAGUGAGUGAUACAGAAACAAGCAGAGCAGCAAAUUGAACCUUAAAACUAUGUGGCUUUUCAAAAGAAAUGGACCAUCUGGGUUUUCGUAUUCCUCUACUGCUGAAGAAGUAACCCAUGGAAUCGACGGCUCCGGUCUCACCGCCAUUGUUACAGGAGCAUCUAGUGGUAUUGGUGCUGAAACUAGCCGUGUUCUUGCUCUGCGCGGAGUUCAUGUUAUCAUGGCUGUUAGGAAUAUGACUGCUGGAAAAGAUGUUAAAGAAGCAAUAGUUAAGGAAAUCCCUGCUGCCAAAGUAGAUGUAAUGGAAUUAGAUCUUAGUUCAUUUGAUUCAGUGAAGAAAUUUGCAGCUGAUUUUAUAUCAUCGGGUCACUCAUUGAACAUCUUAAUUAAUAAUGCAGGCGUGAUGGCAAUUCCCUUUAUGCUCUCCAAAGACAAUAUAGAGCUGCAAUUUGCCACAAAUCAUCUAGGUCACUUCCUUUUGACAAAUUUGUUGUUGGAGAAGAUGAAGGAGACAGCAUCUGAAACAAAGAGAGAGGGAAGGAUAGUCAAUGUUGCAUCAGACGCUCAUUAUGUUACAUAUCGUGAGGGAAUUCUGUUUGACAAAAUUAAUGACCAGGAAAGCUACAGAAAGUUCUCGGCAUAUGGCCAAUCAAAGAUGGCUAACAUACUGUCAACAUAUGAGCUCGCGAAGCGCUUAAAGGAAGACGGUGUGGAAAUAACUGCAAACACACUUAAUCCUGGAGCAAUCUCAAGCAAUCUUUUCCGUCAUAUGACUAUCGUUAAUGGCUUAGUAAGCACGAUUGGAAAACUCCUGCUUAAAAAUGUUCAACAGGGAGCAUCAACCACCUGUUAUAUAGCAUUGAAUCCACAAGUGAAGGGGGUGAGUGGUGAAUAUUUUCAGGACAACAAUUUGGCCACCCCAUCGAAGAAGGCUAGGGACAUGGAUUUGGCUAAGAAACUCUGGGAUUUUAGUGUGGAUUUGGUUAAGUAACAAACAACAUAUAUCAGUAAGUAAGUUGUGGUGUGCAUUAGUCGGUUUGAUUCGAUUCUAUGUAUUAUCGGUUUUCAAUUUUUAAAUAAGCUAAACCAAUAAUAAAAUAAUAAGAUAUUUUUUAUCGUUUAUCGAUUUACCCAAUAAGAAAAUGUUCAUAAAAUAUAU